rnacentral:rRNA from 1 species
CAGCAGCCGCGGUAACACAUAGGGUACGAGCGUUAUCCGGAAUUAUUGGGUUUAAAGGGUCUGUAGGCGGGCGAUUAAGUCAGUGGUGAAAGCCUGCAGCUUAACUGUAUAACUGCCUCCGAUACUGGACGUCUUGAAUAUGGGAGAGGGCAACGGAAUUCCAGGUGUAGCGGUGAAAUGCUUAGAUAUCUGGAAGAACACCGGUUGCGAAGGCUGUUGCCUGGGCCAUUAUUGACGCUCAUGGACGAAAGCGUGGGGAUCAAACAGGAUUAGAUACCCUGGUAGUCCACGCCGUAAACUGGAUGGAUACUCGGUGUCGGCCCGCAAGGGUCGGUGCCUAAGCUAGCGCAGUAAGUAUCCCACCUGGGAAGUACGAUCGCAAGGUUGAAACUCAAAGGAAUUGACGGGGGCCCGCACAAGCAGUGGAGCAUGUGGUUUAAUUCGAUGCAACGCGAAGAACCUUACCUGGGCUCGAAAGACUGGAUUAUCCUUCGGUGAAAGUCGGAGGCGCUUCGGCAAUCCAGACAGGUGCUGCAUGGCUGUCGUCAGCUCGUGCCGUGAGGUGUUGGGUUAAGUCCCGCAACGAGCGCAACCCUUACCCUUAGUUGCCAUCCAGGACUAAUGCUGGGAACUCUAAGGAGACUGCCUACGCAAGUAGUGAGGAAGGUGGGGAUGACGUCAAGUCCUCAUGGCCCUUACGCCCAGGGCUACACACGUGCUACAAUGGUGCCUACAAAGGGUCGCAAUACCGCGAGGUGGAGCAAAUCCCAUAAAAGGCAUCUCAGUCCGGAUCGAAGUCUGCAACUCGACUUCGUGAAGCUGGAAUUGCUAGUAAUCGUAGAUCAGCAUGCUACGGUGAAUACGUUCCCGGGCCUUGUACACACCGCCCGUCAAGCCAUGGAAGCUGGGGGCGCCCGAUGUCAGUGAGCCAAACCGCAAGGGAGUCAGAAGCCUCUAAGGUACAUCCAGUAGUUGGGGCUAAGUCGUAACAAGGUAUCCGUA